rnacentral:lncRNA from 1 species
UUCUUGAAAUUCUCCAUACUGAAUCGUUUCAGCACAAUAUCUAUGUACAUGGAUUAAGAUUGAAGAAAAAAUCAUCUUUUUUCUUUGUAGGAUCUUUCAGAUUUCAUCAAAUCUGAGAUGAAAUAAUUUAAAAUAAUUUAUCCUACAUAUAUUUCAGAUCUAAGUCUCUAGAUCUAAUCUUCAUAUCUAAUAUUAAGUCUAAAAUAAAUCUAAAAAAGAUGAGAAAAUAAGUAAUACCUCAAGGAUAAUCUGAUUACCCUGU